rnacentral:rRNA from 1 species
GUGAGGAAUAUUGCACAAUGGGGGAAACCCUGAUGCAGCAACGCCGCGUGGGUGAUGAAGGCCUUCGGGUCGUAAAACCCUUUUCUGGAGGAAGAGUAAGGACGGUACUCCAGGAAUAAGUCCCGGCUAACUACGUGCCAGCAGCCGCGGUAAAACGUAGGGGGCGAGCGUUAUCCGGAUUUAUUGGGCGUAAAGCGCGUGUAGGCGGCUUGGUAGGUUGGACGUGAAAGCUCCUGGCUUAACUGGGAGAGGCCGUUCAAUACCGCCAGGCUUGAGGUCGGAAGAGGGGAGUGGAAUUCCCGGUGUAGUGGUGGAAUGCGUAGAUAUCGGGAGGAACACCUGUGGCGAAAGCGGCUCCCUGGUCCGCACCUGACGCUCAGACGCGAAAGCGUGGGGAGCGAACGGGAUUAGAUACCCGAGUAGUCC